GCGGAUGCUAGCGGUGACGGCGGUGGUGCAAUCUGGAAAUGGGGAGCUACGUCACUGUUGUCAUCGUCAUCAUCGUCAUC
rfam:Pteropus alecto contig12239, whole genome shotgun sequence.